UAUCUAGUCAUAUUUGAAGACUGAGGAGAAU
rnacentral:piRNA from 1 species